rnacentral:rRNA from 1 species
GACGAACGCUGGCGGCGUGCCUAAUACAUGCAAGUUGAGCGCUGAAGGUUGGUACUUGUACCAACUGGAUGAGCAGCGAACGGGUGAGUAACGCGUGGGGAAUCUGCCUUUGAGCGGGGGACAACAUUUGGAAACGAAUGCUAAUACCGCAUAAAAACUUUAAACACAAGUUUUAAGUUUGAAAGAUGCAAUUGCAUCACUCAAAGAUGAUCCCGCGUUGUAUUAGCUAGUUGGUGAGGUAAAGGCUCACCAAGGCGAUGAUACAUAGCCGACCUGAGAGGGUGAUCGGCAAAAUUGGGAAUGAGACACGGCCCAAACGCCUACGGGAGGCAGCAGUAGGGAAUCUUCGGCAAUGGACGAAAGUCUGAACGAGCAACGCCGCGUGAGUGAAGAAGGGUGUCGGAUCGUAAAACUCUGUUGGUAGAGAAGAACGUUGGUGAGAGUGGAAAGCUCAUCAAGUGACGGUAACUACCCAGAAAGGGACGGCUAACUACGUG